UUUUGACGUUAGCUGCAGAAGAAGCACCGGCUAACUCCGUGCCAGCAGCCGCGGUAAUACGGAGGGUGCGAGCGUUAAUCGGAAUUACUGGGCGUAAAGCGCAUGCAGGUGGUUUGUUAAGUCAGAUGUGAAAGCCCGGGGCUCAACCUCGGAAUUGCAUUUGAAACUGGCAGGCUAGAGUACUGUAGAGGGGGGUAGAAUUUCAGGUGUAGCGGUGAAAUGCGUAGAGAUCUGAAGGAAUACCGGUGGCGAAGGCGGCCCCCUGGACAGAUACUGACACUCAGAUGCGAAAGCGUGGGGAGCAAACAGGAUUAGAUACCCUGGUAGUCCACGCCGUAAACGAUGUCUACUUGGAGGUUGUGGCCUUGAGCCGUGGCUUUCGGAGCUAACGCGUUAAGUAGACCGCCUGGGGAGUACGGUCGCAAGAUUAAAACUCAAAUGAAUUGACGGGGGCCCGCACAAGCGGUGGAGCAUGUGGUUUAAUUCGAUGCAACGCGAAGAACCUUACCUACUCUUGACAUCCAGAGAACUUAGCAGAGAUGCUUUGGUGCCUUCGGGAACUCUGAGACAGGUGCUGCAUGGCUGUCGUCAGCUCGUGUUGUGAAAUGUUGGGUUAAGUCCCGCAACGAGCGCAACCCUUAUCCUUGUUUGCCAGCGAGUAAUGUCGGGAACUCCAGGGAGACUGCCGGUGAUAAACCGGAGGAAGGUGGGGACGACGUCAAGUCAUCAUGGCCCUUACGAGUAGGGCUACACACGUGCUACAAUGGCGCAUACAGAGGGCGGCCAACUUGCGAAAGUGAGCGAAUCCCAAAAAGUGCGUCGUAGUCCGGAUUGGAGUCUGCAACUCGACUCCAUGAAGUCGGAAUCGCUAGUAAUCGUGAAUCAGAAUGUCACGGUGAAUACGUUCCCGGGCCUUGUACACACCGCCCGUCACACCAUGGGAGUGGGCUGCAAAAGAAGCAGGUAGUUUAACCUUCGGGAGGACGCUUGCCACUUUGUGGUUCAUGACUGGGGUGAAGUCGUAACAAGGUAGCGCUAGGGGAACCUGGCGCUGGAUCACCUCCUUA
rnacentral:rRNA from 1 species